ACAUAUUGUUUGUAUUUUUGUUCAGCAGAUGGCCAAAGGCUUAGAAGACAGAUGCAAACAUAAACCCUCAUUUGCCAUCCACAAUGCAUUGAUGAUCGAGAAUGCAUUUUGAUACAUACAUGAAGGAAUAGA